UCUAGCUAUUAUAAUCGGUGUUGUUUCUUUUUGUUUUGUAUCCAGUGCUUUGCAUUUUGAGUGGGUCGAGUUUAUGACGAGAAGAUGGGGUUUUGGUGAUGCAGGGGUUUCUGGGUUGUUGGCUUAACCUUGAGGUGGAGGUGUGUUCAGAAAAGCAGGAGAGCUGCUGUUUGUGGUGUGGCUUCAAACAUCCAAUUCCACAGUUAUUGUUCAUGCUUGCAGACAUAGAUUGCUUUUACGUUCAAGGUUUCACAUGCUACUAUUGUAAGAAAUUGGUCUGCAGGGUCUGAAGAGAAGGAGAAGGUUGAAUAUGUAAAUCAAGAUUAGGUCGCAUUUGAGGUGUUGUCAAUUGUGAAGCUGCUGCUGCUGACAUUCCAAUCAUCUUUCUUAGUAUGUAUGCCUGCAAAUUCUGCUGGAAAUUAAAGAUUAUAUAUAUAUAUAUAUAUAUAU